rnacentral:lncRNA from 1 species
UACCCUGGUCAUGUCUGAAACCAGUGCCAUCUCUGGACUUCCCUGUUAUGUAAGCUAGUAAAUUCCCUUUUGCUUAAGCUAGCUGUGGGUUGCAUUUCUGUCAUAAUGAAAUGACUAAACAACAUUGUCACUGCAACCCAGACAUCUUUUAAUUUUUGUAUACAUUCAUGAAAGAAAUGAGGUGCCCUUCUCAUAGGUAAAGAAACAGAAUUUUAAGUUACUUGCCUGAACCUACACAGCCAGGACUAAGUGCGAUAUUAAUUCAAGUCUGUCUCGCUUUACGGUCACCCUGAGGUCUGUCCCUCUCACACAAACUAGUGAUGGGCAGUUCACGACCUACUGGCAUCCAGCUCUCUAACAUGGUUUGGGCUGAGUACUAGGAGUUUCUUCCACUGAACCAAAUCAGGUUUCUUCCUGAUUUCUCCCCAGAACACCCAGAUAGAGGAUAUUGAUUUUCCCACAGGUCACUCAUCCUUUUGGAAUUUGGAGAUGGAGCCUCCCUGCUUAAGUUCCCCAGAUUAAAGUGCCCCAACUUCCUUAGCCAUUCAUCCAAGGUCCUGGUUUUCCCAUUUCCCUCUGUCAGUGUCAAGCUGGACACUGGGGCUUGGCAGAAUAUGAACAUGCUGGAAGGGCUCUUCAGAAUAAGUUUAAUACUCAUUUUACAUCUGGAAAAUGAAUAUUAAUAUUUCCCUAAAUGUUCCUAAAGGGGGAAGUAAUUUGGAUGGUUCAGCUGCCUCAGGAGAGAUGGCUUCUUACAGAUGCUUUUCAAGGAACUGAAAGUAAAAGUGUCUUCUGUAUUAGGCUUCAGACUGAUUAGCUGUGGAGUGAGCAAGCACUCUAGAUAAUGAAAGCUAACGGAAAAUGUAGCUAGGGCCCCUCCUCUGAAGCCUAAGAACAUUAUAUAAGGACAUCUACCUUGCUUCUAACACUCUGAUUUAGGAAAGAGCUUUUAAAGGCAUUUGUGCUCCCUCAUCUUGAAUAUCUGCUGUUGAGUUGACUGUAUCACCUGACUCUGUGCUCCUGUUCUUCACAAGGGGGCUGUGAUGAUGCUUCAAGUCCUUGGAUAUCAGUGUAAACCUAGACCCUGUGUCCAACAGUAAAGGAAAAAAAGUAAAAGUGGCAGUGAUGGGGGGUAGGGGGAUACUGCCUUUAGACUGAUGCUCAAGGAAGGCCUCUUCCUUUCCACUGUUUUUGAAAGGGUCUCAUCGGAGCUGCAGCUGCCAGCCUACACCACAGCCACAGCAACGCCAGAUCCGAGCCGGGUCUGCGACCUACACCACAGCUCACGGUAAUGCCGGAUCCUUAACCCACUGAGUGAAGCCAGGGAUUGAACCCGCAACCUCAUGGUUCCUAGUUGGAUUCAUUUCCGCUGUGCCACGACGGGAACUCCGACAAGUCAUAAAUUUUAAAUUGCAUGCUGUGCUAAGAAGCAUAAUGAAAUCUCCCACCCUCCAGGCCAGGGAUGUAAGUCAUCCCUUUUUUUCAAUUUAUCUGUACUGUAUAUGCUUCAGCCCUGCCUGCUAGUCACUCAGGAGUUGAUCUAUUUUCAGAUCAACUGUCACUGUACUUCAGUGCUUGUGUUCAAGUAACUCUCUUACUUAUGAACAGCCCCAAAGUGCAAGCAUAGUGAUGCUGGCAAUUCAGAUAUUCUCUGACCGUGCCUAAUUUGUAAUCAUAGAUAUGUACACAUAGAAAAAGCAUGGUAUACAUAGGGUUCGCUAUUAUCCCUGGAUUCAGGCCUCCACUGGGACUCUUGUAACAUAUACCCUGUAAAUAGGGAGGGACUACUGUAAAGGGAAAGAAGUUUUCUCUACUUUUGGAGAAAAACAAAUGUAUGUAAAUCAUUUAGCAAAGCUGGCACCUGGUGAGGGCUUGCUCGGUAAGCACUAGUAAACUAUUUCUUGUAGGCAAAAGGAAAAGAGGACCAGGAUAUAAACUCAAACCUCUACUUCACAACCUGGGCUCUUAACACAGCUCCUGGUUCCUUCACCCCACCCUCAGGCUCCGGGCUUCUGUGAUUCCACCUAUUAUCUGUCUGGGGCCACAAUCUUACCCCUCAGAGCGCACCUUCCUCCAGACACCUUUCCAAGCAGCUGGCAGAGGUAUAGAGGUGUUCAACCGGGAGGACCCCCUCAGCCCGAAGACUGAGACCAUGUGUGUACCUGGUGCUAAAAAGCCCCAACAUCACAAAGGCAAAACUACUCCAACUUCCAAAUCUAUCUCUCCCACUUCCAAAUCUGACUUCAUCAAUUCUUUUCCAUUGUAGGCCACCCAGGACGUUUAUUUUAACCAUAUGGAUGCACUGGGUUUCAGCCAGAUUCACCACUUCCUAAGGUUUAAGGGAAGCUUUGGGUGAAAGCAGAAAAGGAACAAGUCUCAGUCCCAUGAAACCUUCCAGGCAAGGGCUUUCCACGCUGCCAGCUUGGCUUUGUCUGCUCCUAGAAAGCUAGAAGGAGGAAUGCAGAUGAGGUUUCAGAUGCCUGUUCAAUCUCCCAACUUCGCUGUGUGACCUUGGGCUGAACUGCACCCUCUAAGCACCCUUCCAAAUAGAACUUUCUGUGACAACCCCCUCUCCUUCCUUGUAAACACUAACUUAAUGAAUCUCAAAGUUAAGGUCAGAGCUUCAAAAUAUAACAUGACAUAUAGAGAACUCUUUGGGGGGUAAGAAAUAAAGUUAUCUAUAUGCAGAUAGUAUGAUUGGAUAUAUAGGAAGUGCUUAAGGUUCUACAAAAAAAAGACAGCUGAAUAAGUGGAUUGAGCAAAGUUGCAGGAUACAAAACUCAACUCUGUUUCUACAGUGAAGUGUCCGAAAAAGAAAUUAAGAAAACAUUCUAGGAGUUCUCUUGUGGCACUGAGGGUUAAGGAUCUAUCAUUGUCACUGCAGCAGCUUGGAUCACUGCUGUGGCAUGGGUUUGAUCCUGGCCUGGGAACUUCCAUAUGGCAUGGGCAUGGCCAAAAAAAGAAAAAAAGAAAACAAUUCCUCUUACGAUAGCAUCAAAAAGAAUAAAAUUCCGAGCCAGGUCUGCAACCUACGCCACAGCUCAUGGCAACACUCAAAGACCUAAACAUAAGAGUUAACAAUAUAAAACACUUAAAACAUAGAAAAACUUGAUGACACUGGACUAGGGAAUGACUUGAAUGUGACACCAAAGGCACAGGAAACAACAAAAAAUGAUACGAAUUGCACUUCAUUAAAAUUUAAAACUUGUGUGUAUCAAAGGACACUGUCAACAAAACGGCAACCACAGAAUGGAAGAAGAUACUUGCAAAUUACAAACAUGUUAAGGGAUUGGUAUCUAGAAUAUAUACACAACUCCUAAAAUUCAACAACCAAAAACCCCAAAACCCUAGACUCAAAAAUGGGCAAAGGUCUAGAAUAGACAUUUUUCCAAAGGAGAUAAAUGCAAGUGGUAAACAAGCAUAUGAAAAGAUGCUCAACAUCACUAAUCAUUAGGGAAAUGCAAAUCAAAACCUCAAUAAGCUACCACUUCACACCUAUUAGGCUGGCUGUUUAAAAAACAAAAUUAAAAAAAAAAAAA